AAAAAAUUUAUUAAAGUUAAUGGUAUUUUAAUAUAAGUUUUACAUUAUCUUUUUUAUUAAAAUUAUUGAUAUUAACAUAUUUUAAAAUAAGUGAUAUGUUAUUAACAUUUUUUUAAAAUUAUUAAAAUUAGCAAUGUUAAAAUUGGAGUUUGAGAGUGGGAGGAGCACAGAGAGGAUUAAGGGAGGGUGUGUUGACAUUUUAAUUAUUUUAUUUUAUUUUAUUUUCAAGAAAAAUUAUUGAGUGUAUUAUGUGUUUGUACACCUUUUGUCACAAACUACAUAGGACUCGUAUUCUAAAAUUAAGAAAAAAAUUCUUUUUUAUUUUUAUAGAGAAUAUUAUUUUUUAAUCCUAUGAGUGUAUUUUAGCAUCUUCCAAUUUUUUAAUUUCCUAUGGUACACCCCAUCUUUUGUGUUCAAGAUCAAUGUCGCUCCGAGAUCAUCCAGGUAUCUGUCUAGUGUUGCUCCUCCACCUCCUCCCUUCUGUAACCGGUAUCAAGAAAUCACUGUCAUAUACUCCUGUAGACCUCAUCCUCCUGGAUUGUGGCGCAUCGUCUAGUUCUACAUCGCUGGAUGGACGCACUUGGGAUGGAGAUGCCGACUCCAAAUUUCAUGCCUCUAACCCUGAAACAGCAUCAUCUGCGUUUACAGCUUCUCAACAAGACCCAUCAGUAACCCAAGUUCCAUAUAUGACAGCCCGUAUUUUUCAAUCGCAAUUCACCUACACCUUUCCCGUCUCGCCUGGCCCAAAGUUUGUUCGUCUCUACUUCUAUCCAGCUACUUACUCCAAUCUUGACAUUUCCAAAUCCCGUUUCUCUCUUAGUGCCAAUACUUACACUCUCCUCAACAAUUUUAGUGCUUUUCUCACUGUUUCUGCUAUGAAACCUUCUGUCGCCUCCUUCAUCAAAGAGUAUAUCAUUACCGUGUGGGAUAACCAGAAGCUUGAUCUGACAUUCUCUCCUUCUCCAAGUUCUUUUGCCUUCAUAAAUGGCAUCGAGAUAGUUUCGAUGCCCAACAACCUCUAUGCCAGCGGCAACAAUAAUCCACUUCCUUAUGUGGGCAUCGAUAGUAACCCAUUUUAUUUGGAUAACACCACCGCUCUUGAGAAAUUUUAUCGGCUAAAUGUUGGUGGACAAGAUAUCAGCGGGAAAGAUGACACUGGAAUGCAUAGGACAUGGCUUCAAGAUUUAAAUUACAUCUUUAGUGGGGCACUUGGGUUUGCAAUUAUACCACCUGAUGUCAAAAUACAGUAUACAAUGAAGACACCAGCCUACACUGCACCUGUAAUGGUAUAUGGUAGCAUGCGUUUUAUGGGUCCCGAUUCACAUCGUAACCUGAAUUACAAUCUUACAUGGUACUUCUCCAUUGAUGCUGGUUUCAAUUAUCUUGUUAGGCUCCAUUUUUGUGAGUUUCGACCUGAGGUCACAAGAAGUGACCAAGUGGUGUUUUAUAUAUUCAUCAACAAUCAAACAGCUGAGCCAUACGCAGAUAUAAUGCUCUGGUCCGGCGGUAACAGUGUUCCACUGUAUAAAGACUACGUCUUGUGGAUCCCCAAAGGCAGCCAUAGUAAGCAGUACUUGUGUCUCGCUUUACACCCCAAUUUUGAUAAAAAACGUACAUAUGCUGAUGCUUUCUUGAACGGCCUAGAGAUAUUCAAGUUGAAUAAUUCAGGCGGUAGUCUAGCCUCUCCCGGCCCUGAAUUAUUGGCGGGUAGUCCACCACCAGAAAACCUUCCAAAAUUGAACGGGAAGACUAACGAGAAAAGAUUUUUGGUAGUAAUCGUUGUUGGUUCUGUUUUUGGGGGUAUGCUAGCGCUCUCUCUUGUUAUUUGUUUCUUUGUUUUUAAACAGAGGAGAGUGAAGGACUUUGGAAAGAGUGAGGCCAAAUCCAUGCCGUCCACUCAAAUUGUUUCAUCAAUGCCAUCCGACCGUUGCCGUCGAUUUACAAUAGUUGAAAUGAAAGCAGCUACAAAAAAUUUUGAUGAUGAAAAUUUUAUUGGUUCCGGUGGAUUCGGCAAUGUGUAUAAAGGAUAUAUUGGCUGUGGAUCCAUCCCAGUUGCAAUCAAACGUUUGGAUUCAUCAUCGAAGCAAGGAAUUCACGAAUUCAAAACUGAGAUAGAAAUGCUGUCCCAACUCCGCCAUGUUAAUCUAGUAUCUUUGAUUGGAUAUUGCAUUGAUGAAGGCGAAAUGAUCCUGGUUUAUGACUAUAUGAUCAAUGGGACACUUCGGGAGCAUCUAUAUGAAAGCAACAAUCCACUUCCAUGGAAGAAAAGGCUCCACAUAUGCAUCGGUGCAGCACGCGGAUUGCAUUAUCUUCAUGCUGAAUUGGCAAAUACAAUAAUCCAUCGUGAUGUAAAGACUAGCAAUAUUCUGUUAGAUGAAAAGUGGGUUGCCAAAGUUUCAGAUUUCGGGUUAUCAAAAAUAGCUUACAAUGAGGCAGUUAGUACCAUAGUAAAGGGAACUUGGGGGUAUCUAGAUCCAGAAUAUGCUCGAUACCAACAAUUGACAGAAAAAUCUGAUGUGUAUUCAUUUGGGGUAGUAUUAUUGGAAGUGUUGUGUGCUCGGAAGCCUCUCAACCAGAAGUUGGAGGAGGAACAAAUGAAUUUGGUCAAUUGGGCACAAAAAUGCAUCCAGAAUGGGACUCUUUGUCAAAUAAUUGAUCCUCAUCUGAAGGGCCGCAUAGCUCCUGAGUGUUCUAGUAAAUUUGUGGAGAUUGCAUUAAGUUGUCUAAGUAAUAAAGGGAUUGAACGACCAACCAUGCAUGAUGUGAUGGGAAAACUUGAAUUUGUAUUGGAGCUUCAAGAGGCUGCAGAUGCUGAGAAGAAGGUAAUGAAUCCUGAUAUUGAAUGUGUCUAUCCAGAGGUAUCAUUUUUUGAUAGUCCAUCCGCUAAUAUCAUUGGCGAACCUCAGUUCGACUCGAGUGCUGCAAAUGGAUCAAUUAGUUUUGACACAAGCAUUAUUGGAACUACUGAAUCUAUGCCACUAACUGCAACGCCAGAGCUUGGAAAAAUGAAAAUCACCUCCAUUUAAUUGUAAAAAUUAUCUGUCUGUAGUAGCACUUAAUAUUUAAUUGGUGAUCAUAUCAUGUUUGAUAGAUGGUUUUUGAGUCCUUCCAAUAGCCGGUUAGGUGUAUUUCCUGCGAAUAAAUUUUUGUCUUCUUAUGAACAGGUGUCAUCCAUCUUUCCAGACUUUAGAGGAUUUGGCUGGGCGCCUAGGGUCUGUUCAUAUAUUUUGUAUUGUACGCAAUUUAUGAUAUGAUGAUUUCGCAAUUUG
rnacentral:misc_RNA from 1 species